UCAUUGGCCACACCGUGUGUCCUCAACGGAAAAUUACCUGUUGGAAGGCGAGCAGAAACGCGGAGCAAUUGUUUUAAACCGAUUUAAAACAAUGUUGGAACUCUUAUCUCGGUUUGUCAGUCCUGUGAAAAUACUCAAUUACCGAAGACGCAUGGAUGCUAAAACAAGUUUUGAAGCUAAUUUUUGUCGAACACGAGUGAGACUGGCGGUGAACACACCUGCGGCGCAAAGGUGUCUCCACUUUGUCCACGAUCACAGAGAGUCUUUGUACAAUGAAGAAGUUCUUUGAGACCAGGACACAGGCCUCCAGGUGUCUCCACUUGGUCUUCGUACAGUGAAGAAGUUCUUUGAGACCAGGACUGAGGCCUCCAGGUGUCUCCACUUUGUCCACGAUCACAGAGUCUUCACACAAUGAAGAAGUUCUUUGAGACCAGGACACAGGCCUCCAGGUGUCUCCACUUUGUCCACGAUCACAGAGUCUUCACACAAUGAAGAAGUUCUUUGAGACCAGGACACAGGCCUCCAGGAGGAGAAGACGACAGCAGCUGAAGACCUGAAGUGGAUGAAAGAAAACCAAAGUGUUAGGAAGCUGUUAAUGAAAUAAAAGAGCUCCACCAUCUAACUACUGUGAACUGUGUUGAAUUCCUGUUGUUCAAGUGAAAACACUAAACAGUACAGUAAAGUAUUAAAAACUGUCAGUGUAGUCAGGAGUCACUAAAUGUCACAGUAAGGUGUCAAAAUGUCAGUCUAGUCACUAAAUGUAACAGUAAAGUGUCAAAAACUGUCAGUGUAGUCAGGAGUCACUAAAAGUAACAGUAAGAUGUCAAAAUGUCAGUCUAGUCACUAAAUGUCACAGUAAAAUGUCAAAAUGUCAGUCUAGUCACUAAAUGUAACAGUACAGUAAAGUGUUAAAACUGUCAGUGUAGUCAGGAGUCACU